GAAAAUAUUAUUUCAAAUAAUUAUUUCUUGAAUAUUAAGAAAAUACUAUUUCAAUGAAUUAUUUCCACUUUAAAAAAAGCUACAGUUACAAUGAAUAAUUGCAACUAUAUUUUCAACGCGAGUACUUAUCCCAACGGCGUCAAAAAUGAAUCUCGAAAUAUUCUCUCACGCCGACAGAAGUAUUUCAUCAAUUAUUUCCAAUACUUUGAUCAAAUAUUUUUGCCCAAGGUCUGAUCUCAAUCUCCGCGACACACCGAUUGUACAUCGCAAAAAUCCCGCUUCCUAGAUUUACGACGUUCUUGGUUACUUUCCAAUUAACGUGGGUCCAUUGCGGAGAGUAUCACACACAUACACACACAGUUACAGGUAGUUCUUUUGAUAAAUCUGAACGUUGUUCACACAAUGCGUACGCGCGAAAGUAAAGAGGAUCUGUAGCCUGUCCCUCGAAGGGGUGGUCCUGCGAACGCUUCGACGGCCGCAAUCCGGCUUUCGAGAGCAGGCCCGACGAAUCGCGUUCCUACGCAAAAAAAAGUUCGCAUUUCUCCGGAAGAAUCACAGGUGUCCGGUGCGGCUUGUGAUGCCGCAGUGUUUGCGCGCGCGCGCGCGCGUGCACACACACGUACGUACCGAUGAUCGGUCGUCACAUUUGCAGCCGUACAAACUCGCGCGAUCGUCCCGUUCGUUCGUAUCGGCGCUGUUUACGUUGUUUACAAGCCUGCGAUCAGUUUCGACGGAGUUGAAAGAGUAGUCGCAAAUCCGCGUCGUUGGACGAGCCACGAGUUGUUAAAGAGAGAGAGAGAGAGUUUGGAAGUUAAUGGGAAAGGCAGAAAUGUCGUGGGGUGGCUGCUAACAAUAUCUCUUCGGUCCGCUACCUUUUUGGAAGACGAUUUACUCGCAGCACGCAGGGGAUACACUUAGGAUUUUAACGAAGAAAACAAAGGAAUAGGGGGAUGUGGAGUAUGGGCACGCGACUCACGGAUGUUUUUUAACUGCAGAAACCGCGACGACGAGACGCGGAACGGAUCGUUCGUAGGAAGCAUUUCUCGGAUAUAAUAAUAUACCUCAUCGUGAUUGUAAAAACGAUUAAUUGUAAUCGGCCGUGGCUAUCGGCGAGGCGACAGGCUGUUUCUCCUUUGUUCCUCGAGUUCCUAAACAGAGACGUCGGGCCCUUUCGUGAUAAUAAGUCCCUUCUCGCAUCGUUAGCCGAUACAUCGAUCCACCAUCCCCCCACCCAAAUCUAUACUUUUUCUCCUCGCGGGGUCGUGAAUCUGUGUACUAUAAAAAACCGGCGGGAGACACGCGCGUUACGUUGUAUUUUCACGUGGUUACAUAAACUAAUUACGGUGUUAUUCCUCUUAACGAUAAAGAUUUAACCGGUAAGGGAUAACGUUACGAGUUUUCACGCAAUAUAUAGUUAAGCACAGACGGGAAGAGCAAGAGAGAAAGAGAGAGAGAGAGAGAGAGAAAAAGAGAAAGAAAGAGAGAGAGAGUGACGCGUUCGCAUCCGGUCAACUAAACUCCGCCAUUUCGAUUGAAUCGUCCGGCAGGUUCGUGAUCGCAUUACCAAACUACAGAAUUCCCAGUUUUUUUUUUUAGAGAGAGAGACAUGCUUGCGAUAACAACUGGCAUCGAAUUUUAUUCAAUUCCGAGUCCGAGUCCGGUGGAAUGGAAAACGGCGACAUCGAAUGUUCGGGUUUUUAUGCUGGCACCAGUGCCGCGAACUUUUUAUUUUGGGCGAUCUUCGUCUCGCGGUUAUGACGGUAUAGUUACGUCUGUUAAUUUUAUGGAUCACGCGAAGGUAGUGUUUUAAUUUUGUCUGGCUUGGUAGAAAGAGGCUGUGAUAAUCGAGCUUCAGAAACUUGUUCGGUAUUUGUCACUUAAUUUAUAGAAAAUCCUAAUUUUUUUGUUACAAGUUUACAGAUACAGCUUUACAUUUCUGAAUAACCCUAAGUCCACCGAGGCUUCGAAGUAACUAAUCUGCGUUGCUUUUUUUUUAGCGAUGAAGAAACUGUAUUUAUUUAGACGUUUCGUCAUUUUUCUUGUAACGUACGCUUGGAUUAAGACAUUUGCUCGAUCGUUUUAAGCCGAAAAAGAGUAGACAGAUUCAGGAAAAAAGCAUUGAGAUCGUUCACGAGAGAAAUUCUCUUUCUGUGUUUUUAUAAUUUUUAACGUCUACGUUUUAGUCCGGAAUCUUAUGUUCUUUAAUCUUCCGCGAACCAGGUGAUAGAAAGCAAAUGAAAACAAAAAACCCUGAAACAUGAUUUUAAUUACAUUACCGAACAUUACCCACCUACGGGUGUUCCUUCGUUCUCGUAACAAGGACAGACCCGAUGUUUUAAGAAUAAACAACGUCUCUCGUCUCGUUGACAACGACAGUUUCAAAGUCCGUCGGGGUUAAUUUUGGACAUGGUUCGCACGCGCAUGGUUCGGGGAAGGUUAAUCAUGUCGAUCGUCGUGAAUCCUACGCUAGAAAUAGUAAUUUGACUAGACUCUCGCUUGUUCAAAGAUGUUGGUGGAAAGCCGACACGAACUUUCCGGAAGAAGCAACGCCACCGCGACCGCAAGUCGCAGACAAAUCAAAAGGAGCUCGUAGCCUAGCCGUUUAGUAUGAUCGAACGUUUUUUCUGUCGGUCAGAGAGAGAGAGAAAGAGAGAGAGAGAGAGAGCGUGAGAGUGAAAGUUGCAAGAGAGAAAGUUGCGUGAGAGUUUAAUCGGUGUUCGAGAGAAAAAGGGGGUUGCUGAUGGGAGCGAAUGUUGUUGAACGUUGAUUCGAAACUGAGAGCACAUGCGAGCGGAUGCGAGUAUAAAAGCAAUACUGUGGGAGGCGCGGCGGCUGCAGCUAACGUAAGCGAUUAGGGGAACGGACGGGUAGAUAGAUUAAGAAGCGUAGUAAACAAUUUAACCAGAGAAUUAUUACAAUUAAUGAAGAAACACGCCUCAACUAAUUAGAAGCGAAAGGACGCCGUUUAUUAAGGUUAUUAUCGACUAUCAUGUUUAUUGAUUAAAGGGAUAAAAUAGUUAAAGGCUGUCUAACGUUUAAAACGGUCUAGUUUAACUCGGUGAAAAUGACGGGAACGACGAGGGGUGAAGAUAAGAGAGGGGAGAAACACUGUUAUACCUCCGCCUAAGAGUAGAUCGUACGUAUCGACGGAUCGUAACCGGUUAAGAGCGACUCGAUUAAUGGGGGAAACAAAGUAAAUAAAACAAAAUAAGCUAAUUAACUAUGACAUAGAUUUUACGGGGUGGGCGGGGUCGAAUAUACAAGGUGUGAUCGAAAUGGAACCAAACUCUACCCGAUUCGGUUUGAUCGCUUUGCCAGCAUCUUCUCGAGAUCCUUGAUUAUAUCGGUCUGCCAAAUUUGAUCGAAUUGCGAACGUCGUCGCACGUGGCAAAUCGAACGGAAGAACAGUGGAAACAGUACAACAAUACUAAAGACAAUAUUACGUUAGUUUCGAUUUAUUACAACUAGUAAGAAAAUACGUGUUUAGACAGUUCCUGGAUCUUUUCAUUUAAUUCAAUUUAAUUCCAUGUCAUUUCAUUAGAUCUCAUUCAUUUAUUCGCGAGAAAAAUCCUUCAGUACAAAAUAAGAUAGGAGAAAACGAACUAAAAUAUAUACAAAGAAGAUAUUAUCGCUUAUAAAGAUUAGCGAAGUAAUUAUUGCACAAUAUGCUGCAACGAUAGCUAUAGAUUUCCUAGGGAUUCUUCAAUUGUAUCUGUUUCAUUUAGAAUGAUUAAUUAUACUCUUAAUACAAUUUUGAGAUGCAUAUGUUGCGCGGUAUAAAGUAGUGCGCGAUUCCAGCGGAGAGAACAAACGGAUAAUUAGUGGGGAUGAAAAUAUCUUGUAGCCAACGCGGACAACGUUCACUUUGCAUAGAAACCCGCAAGUCUAGUGAGAUUAACCCCUCAACGCCGGCGCCAUAUAAGGAAACCUAGUUGUGCCCAAAAUAAUGUACUACAAUUAUACCAUAUAAUAAUAAUAAUAAUAAUAAAUAAAUAAAUAAAUAAUACCUUACAAAUUUUUUAUUAAUGUAUUUAUACGAUAAUAAGGUUAUGUUAAUGUUAUAAAACGAAUGUCGUAACGUUAAUGUUAUUAAGAUUAGAACGUUAUUUUCGUAUCAAUGUAUGAAAUAUACAGAUCCGUAUUUCGUACGGGGUGCCGACGUGUUGCGGGGUUGAUAAAUGGCGAGAACGGACGAAGAGAGACGCCCGCGGCUCGAUGAUAUUUGGCAUACUAAUGUUCAAAGGUGUAGAACGUCGUCUCGCAAAUUCGAUUUAACACGGGAUCAGUUCCCAAGGGGAACCGACGGGGUUUGGUUUCUUUCUGAUCGAUAAAUACUCGAAAGUACACCGAAAGUGCUACCAAGGGAGAAACCACUAAAUCGAAUCGUUUAAAUUCGGUCUAUCCUCAAAGAGUGACAUACCACUAAGCCUUUCAUUUUCGAAUCGUUUCGAAUCGUUUUAUUGUUUUCCAAUGUCCGUUUGGUCAAGAGUCUAAAUGCCACGCGAUUAGUCGUCGUCGUGGGAAGAGAUCUGCGAGAAAGGGGUGAGCAGAAUAGGCGAAGAGUGAGAGUGUCGGGGGAGAAAAAGAGUAUGCGUGCGAGGGAGCAAAUGACAGAUACAAUAAACCCAGACGACGUUUGUAGUUAAAUCGAGAUAAAUUAUUGAUUAAGGGAUAAGUUGUGUACAAAUGUAUUAUAAAUUAACGAUUAUCCUCAGAGUACCUUAAACGCUGAAAGACGAGAGAACGAGUGUAAGUGGAAGAAAGAGAGACAGAAAGAGUGUCAAAGAGUGUCAAAAUGUGUGUGCGCGUGUGUGAAAGAAAGAGAGAGAGAAGAGAGCGCGAUAGAAAGAAAGAGAUUUAUGCAAAAGAUAUUAUUAAACGAAGGAAACGGAGUCACCUCAAUAUUAUGUAGAAUUUUCUCCAAGCCCGAUCGUACCAAUGUUAAGGAGAUCGUGGUUCCCGGUGCCGCGAAGGGACACUCGUAGGAUCAAUAAUUAAGGUAUCGAUUAAUUAUCUAAUUAAUUAAUUAAAGCGUAUAAAAACUCGACGUUAAGAACCGUUACGUAGGAACGUAUUUAACAGAUAGGGGAUGCCGCGACGAGAUGUUUUUUAACGAAAGCUAAACAAACAAACAAACAAAUAAAUAAACAAACUAACAAACUAACUAACUAAAUAACUAACUAAACAAAAUGCCAACCAUUGUGUUCUCGUGAGAAUCAUAAUUAUUCCGUAAAUCUUAAGUGACAAAAGUCGUAUCUAAGUCGUUGAUUAGUCGUUGUAAUUUUAAUUGUUUCGUUAGGGAGAGACAGAGAGCAAGCGUGAACGGGGGAUAGGGAGAGAAUAGAGUGUGUGUUUGGAAGAAAGAGAGAGAGAGAAAGAGAAAGAAAGAAAGAAAGAAAGAAAGAGGGAAAGCGAGAGGGAGACUGAAAGCGUUCGAAAUGCCGGUUACUCGCUGAACGAAGCACGUGUGAACGUGAUGCAGAGUCAAGAAAGGUGAGAAUGCAUGAAAAUGGAAUGAUUGGUCGAAAGAUGAGAGAAAGAGAGAGUGAGACGAAGAGAGACUGUCAUGAAAAGAAGAGAGCGAGCGAGAGAGAAAGAGAGAUAGGGACGUGUUUGCGAUCGUAAUUGGGCGUGCAGAGAAGAAAAGCGGAAAGAAAAAUUCUGGGACGUGCAAACGACUGGGACGCACGGUGACGUCGACGAACAAAGGAAGAAAAAAGAAACACAUGUAGUUUAAUAAACAAAUGGAACAUAGUUCGUACGCGGUGUAGAAAGCGGCGCGUUUCACCGGCGCGCCGCGACCAGGUUUAAGGAUUGCCAAAUCUCUUUAAUAAGUAUCGAGACAAAUGUAAAACUUUAUUAAGCCGCAUUAUACGUGUGUAUAGUGGAUAGGGAGUACUCGCAGUUAAAUGAAUCAUAGAUAAACCGUUAGUGCUUAACGCGAACAAAAAAAAAAAAUAAGAAAACAAAA